rnacentral:tRNA from 1 species
AAAAAGAUAAGCUAAGUUUAAGCUUUUGGGCUCAUACCCCAUCGAUGAAUAAAUUCUCUUUUUA